rnacentral:tRNA from 1 species
GGAUGUAUAGCUUCAGUGGUACAGCAUAUGCUCUGCAUGCAUGAGCUCCUGGGUUCAAUUCCCAGUACCUCCU